UUCGCCACCUUUAAAGCGGCGAAAAUGGUCGAGAAUUACCUAUUGUUUACAUCCAUGUAGGUCAGUGUUUUGGUAGUGACUAGGUGAGUCGUUUGCCCAGUGACGAAUGUUUAUCGCUAAUUUAUUUGUAUUCUUCGACGCGUUUCCUUCAGGUAAACUGUUUAUCUAUCGCCGUUCGCCGACAACAAUUAGAGGCAUUCAACAAUAUCAAGCCCUGAAUGCGGAUGAGUGUGUGAAUGGUAAUGACUGAGUAGCUUCGAAUGCGAAAAUCCAGCAAUUUUUUGUGGGGGCUGACUCCCACUGAACCGAAGCGAAAGGUGCUCACCAAACACGGGUGAACAUAUCAAAAGUCGGGGUAGAACUCACAAAUACCGAGCAUAAAGAGAGAAAGUAGAUGUUCGUCGAAUAUUAUUGCGCUGCAAUCAACUAUCAUUCAUCAACUUUUUGACACACAAAUGUCGGCACUUGAAUAAAUAUAUCAGUUACACAUGUGUGAGUGGGUACGGCCUUGACAGGAAAUAAAAAGGGGGCGGAGUGGGUUGAAGUGGGUGGCAGGCGCAACAGGCGAAUGAAUCAUGGGUGUCACAUGAGUGUGGCGCCGCAAGUGAGUUGUAAUUCAUUUGCGAGUGGAUGCAAAGUUUUCGCUGCGAAUGGACAACUGAAUGGCGAAUAACUCUCGCAGGUCGGGAUCAUCCAUAUCCAUUUCGAGGAUUUACCGGAGCUCAAAGGGGCGAAAGCUGCGCAGGAUUCUCCUCUCAAUGUGCACUUUCAACGGACACUGCGUAAUCGCAAUCGAAACGACUUCAACGUUUAUUUAGCCCAUACCGCAGUGCUAAUUCUACCCGUCACAUUUCACUGCCCCCCUUUUCACCGCCCAUAUAUUGCGCCCAAAGUAGGCGUGGGACUGGCAGCUGCAGCAGUACCGCUCCAUGAUGGUAUUAACCGGAAGUGACGACAGCGCCGGACAACGCCUAAAAGCACACUGCAGAAUUUAUUUCUUUAUUUCUCACGCUCGCCUGAUUUUAUUUUUAAUUAUCCGGUGCAGGCGGUGGAAAUUAAUUCCGUGGAUGGCGAACAAAUAUGAAAAACUAUAAAGAAAAUGCGCAUAUUAAAAGUCAGUCAAAGCGUAUGGGGAGCGGUUCGGAAAAAUUGGUUGGCAAAAAAUAAAUAUCAUAUUUAAAUAUGGCAAUAUGAAUGCGAAAAACGAUUGGAAAGAACGAUUCACAUAUUGCGUAUUGCGAUUUUGGUGUUGAUUUAUGGACCGAAAAUAAUUGUUUUGCCUGCUCGAUGCGAUUUGGAACCAUCAUGUGAAAAUAAAACUCG